rnacentral:rRNA from 1 species
UACAGAGGUCUCGAGCGUUGUUCGGAUUCAUUGGGCGUAAAGGGCGCGUAGGCGGCGGGGUAAGUCUGGUGUGAAAUCGUCGGAGCUCAACUCCGAAAUUGCACUGGAUACUGCUCUGCUAGAGGGCUGGAGAGGAGAUCGGAAUUCACGGUGUAGCAGUGAAAUGCGUAGAUAUCGUGAGGAAGACCAGUGGCGAAGGCGGAUCUCUGGACAGCUCCUGACGCUGAGGCGCGAAGGCUAGGGGAGCAAACGGG